rnacentral:rRNA from 1 species
GAUGAACGCUAGCGGCAGGCUUAAUACAUGCAAGUCGAGGGGCAGCGGGGUAGCAAUACCGCCGGCGACCGGCAAACGGGUGCGGAACACGUACAGAACCUUCCUUUAAGCGGGGGAGUAGCCCACUAGAAAUGUGGAUUAAUACCCACUAGUAAUGUUUAAUGGCAUCAUUAGAUAUUUAAAGUAUUUAUCACUUAAAGAUGGCUGUGCGGCUGAUUAGGUAGUUGGUGCGGGUAACGGCCCACCAA